UACGUAGGGUGCAAGCGUUGUCCGGAAUUAUUGGGCGUAAAGAGUUCGUAGGCGGCUUGUCGCGUCGGCUGUGAAAACCUGGGGCUCAACCCCGGGCCUGCAUUCGAUACGGGCAGACUAGAGUUCGGGAGAGGGAUGUGGAAUUCCAGGUGUAGCGGUGAAAUGCGUAGAUAUCUGGAGGAACACCGGUGGCGAAGGCGGUUCUCUGGGAAUGACCUGACGCUGAGGAGCGAAAGUGUGGGGGAGCGAACAGG
rnacentral:rRNA from 1 species